GGUUCCAUAUGAUAUUAGUCCUUGUCCGGACGAACUAACUAUCAGGUAUUGCUUUCUCGGGUUGAAAAGCCUAGAGUGGUAUCCGAUAGGAGCGUUGGUGUUCUUUGAUUGUUGGUCUAAGGCGAUCAGAAGUAUUCUGAGAACCUCAGAUCGACCAUCGAGGAACAUUGACCGUGUCAUUUCUGGUCAUCUAUGAUCGGGGGUGUCACACUCGCCGCUACUCCAUGGAAAGCUGUGACCUUCUCUGUCAAAACAAAGACGGGUAAAGCUUCGUCAGCCAGAGAACAACGAGCAUCUCGACAAAGGAUUGACAAAAGGUGAAGAGAGCAAAAGAAAAUAAAACAGAAAAAAGUAUUGGAGCCUCCGACACCAAAAAAGAAAAAACCAAAAAUUAUGGUCGUAAGUUCUAUAUAUUCACUAAAGUUAAUAGUAUAAAAUCUAUGUAACUACUUUAAUAAUGAUAUACUCCCUUUGUUCCUAAAUAUAUGAUGUUUAGUUAAAAACACACAUAUUAAGAAAAGUUAAUUUUUGUCUAUAAAACAACAUUAAAACUAUAAAUUAAUGAUAUUCAACCAAUUACAAAAUAGAUUAGGGCAAAUGUCAAUAAUAGCACCUUUUAAAGUUUAUGUCUCAAAAAUGGCACUAGAAGGAGAAAGUCACAAAAAUGACAUUCAGUAUAGGGUAAAAUAUCCUUAAUACCCUUGGUUUAAAAUUAAAUAAAUAAACAAAAAAAAUAAAAAAAA
rnacentral:lncRNA from 1 species